rnacentral:misc_RNA from 1 species
UAGAGCUUUUAUCUUCUAUUGCAAUUUAUAUAAUUCUAAGGAUUGGAGAUUAUUUUUGGGCACCCAAUGCUGAACGCAAUCUUUAUGGCGGUCACUUGAUGCAAAAUUUGUUUAUCAGGGUUUCUAGAUUAACCUUGCACAUCCAUACUUUGGCAGGACAACAAUUUGUAAUGGGCCUAGUGAUUAUAUCUCGUGCAUAAUUUGAAUAUCUAGUUUUCUCAUAAAUUCUAGAUUGACUGUGAAGAGUAAGAAUGUGGAACUAAUUACAUUAUUUGCAGUGCUACCAGUGAUGCUGGGUCUCCUAAAUAUGAUUUGAGAAAAAAGUGAGCAUUUCUUUGUGAAGCAUAAUACCUAAUAUGUUGAGUUGGUUGACUCGAUUUAAUCUUUAAAAUAGACGAAAAGUAACCCUGAGUGUAGCAUAUCUAAAUCUAUUUUUAGCUUGGCAUCAUGGUGGUAAGUAGUCAAAUGGCAUGGAAGCAAGCAUCACCAGAUUCACAACUGGAUACUUGAACUUAGAUUUCAUGAAGUCAACAUGGCACAUUAUGCUUAUGCAACUAUAACUAGAGCUAAUCUGGUUGUGUUUGUUAAAGCUUUCAUAUAAAAAAUAUGACGAGGAACAAAUAAAAAUAGCAUGAAAAAAGAAGACGGGAAAUGAGAUUAUCAAUACUCUAAUAUGUUUGACUAUUUCUUGGGUGCAUCAUAUAAUUAUUGCACUUGGUUUCAGGCUUUCAGCCUAAUUGUAUUCCGAGAAUUGAAAUGCAUAAACAUUUCCUUACAAUGUGUGCACUCUAAUCUGAUUGCUCUUGCUUUUGUCAAUUCUAUACCAUCAGCUAAACAGGUUCCAACCAAUUACCCAACUUUGAUUACCCUAUGGCCUUUGAAGUCUCUAGGACAGAAUGUGUUAAUUGAAUAGAGAUAAUAGGGAUGUUCAUGGAGUGGAUUUGGUGGAAGCAGUUCGCUGUAGAUGGCACGAAAUCCUUGAAUCCAUCACCUUCGGAACCUGAAUGCUUCCAAAAUCUAGGUGGGCAGGGGAUGGGAUGAAGUCUUCAUCUACAUAGCUAAUUGGGGACCCAUUAGUUAUAUCAAACUAUAUCCUUUACUAAUUUUCUUGUUAAACUGUUGUAUUGUUAACUCUUGUAUCAAUUAGCAGUGUUUUAGUCAAAGCUACUUGACAAGCAUGAUAACUCAAAGAUACCACAGCUAUGUUGCUGCUUUUAGUCAAAGGUGUAGGGUCAUGAAUUACAAUUCACGUAGGAAACUAGAUCCCAUUGCUGAGCCUUAACUUAUGUGUUUCAACUCCAUGUGGUUCUCAAGAAAAAUUUAACACAUUUUUAUUUAUUUAAUUGAGGCUGGCGACAGAGUUACGAGUUAAUUGGAGUUCUGCACACACACACCUGAGAUGGGGGGAGGAAUUAUUCCCUGCCCCAUCCCUAAUAUAAAAAAGUAAAGGAAAAUGACCAUCUGUGUUUGGUAUGGCUUCUAUGUAAAUCGAAAAGCUGUUAUAACUGCAGAAUUGCAUAGCCAAGAAGAUGCUGGGAAUUGAAUAAUAUUUGAGCCUUUUGCCAUUUUGACUGGCGUUGCAGAUGUUAACAAUGAGAAAUGGA